rnacentral:piRNA from 1 species
UGAAGAGUGAGGGCUUCCUGAUUGGCAAU